UACGGAGGGUGCGAGCGUUGUCCGGAAUCAUUGGGCGUAAAGGGCGCGUAGGUGGCGCGGUCAGUUCGUGGUGAAAGCGCGGGGCUCAACCCCGCGUCGGCCAUGAAUACUGCUGGGCUGGAGCACUGUAGAGGCAGGCGGAAUUCCGGGUGUAGCGGUGAAAUGCGCAGAUAUCAGGAAGAACACCGAUGGCGAAGGCAGCUCUCUGGGACGGUACUGACGCUCAGACGCGAAAGCGUGGGGAGCGAACAGG
rnacentral:rRNA from 1 species